GCGAAGUCUUCGGACUUAGCGGCGGACGGGUGAGUAACGCGUGGGAACAUACCCUUUGGUACGGAAUAGCCUCGGGAAACUGGGAGUAAUACCGUAUGUGCCCUUCGGGGGAAAGAUUUAUCGCCAAAGGAUUGGCCCGCGUCUGAUUAGUUUGUUGGUAGGGUAAUGGCCUACCAAGACUACGAUCAGUAGCUGGUUUGAGAGGAUGAUCAGCCACACUGGGACUGAGACACGGCCCAGACUCC
rnacentral:rRNA from 1 species